CCUACGGGUGGCAGCAGUGGGGAAUAUUGCGCAAUGGGGGAAACCCUGACGCAGCCACGCCGCGUGGGUGAUGAAGGCCUUCGGGUUGUAAAGCCCUGUCGAGGGGGAAGAAGUAUGACGGUACCCCUCAAGAAAGCGCCGGCUAACCCUGUGCCAGCAGCCGCGGUAAUACAGGGGGCGCGAGCGUUGCUCGGAAUCACUGGGCGUAAAGCGUACGCAGGCGGACCGUUAAGUCGAAUGUGAAAGCCCGGGGCUCAACCCCGGAAGUGCAUUCGAAACUGGCGGUCUUGAGUACGGGAGAGGUGAGUGGAAUUCCUGGUGUAGAGGUGAAAUUCGUAGAUAUCAGGAGGAACACCGGUGGCGAAAGCGGCUCACUGGCCCGAUACUGACGCUCAUGUACGAAAGCGUGGGGAGCAAACAGGAUUAGAUACCCCAGUAGUC
rnacentral:rRNA from 1 species